rnacentral:sRNA from 1 species
AAGAUAUUGUUUUUGGGGAAGUUGAUCGUUAACAACCAUAUUUUGCUAAAGAUAUUUAAGUGUUCGAGAGAUAACGUAGUGGUAGCGUGUUCGCUUUGGGAGUGAAAAGUCGUAGGUUCGAAUCCUACUCUCUUGAUUUUAUUAUUGAAAUACCCUGUUAGGUUUAUCUUUUAUAUAAUGUUUAGUGCGGUGUGAAUGCCUUGGAGGAAAAAUAUAGGCGUAAAUAAUUACGAGAGUGUUGGUCGAGAUAUACUGUGACACCAACUUCCCUAAUAUAGGAAACUAAAGCUGUAAAGCUUACUGUAAACGCAGUAAUAUGGGGAAGUGAAACAUCUUAGUACCCAGUUUGUUAAAUCAACCGAGAAGCCAUAAGUAGUGGUGAGCGAAAGUGGUGUUUGGCUAAAUUAAAAAUUUAAAAACAAAAAAUUAUUUUUACCUUAGAAGGUUAUAGUCCUGUAGUUUUUAAUUUUUUUUUUAAUAGUAGAACAAGGCAAGUUUACCUUGUUCGAGUUUUGGGGGACCACCCUCAAAGCCUAAGGUUAUUUUUCUUUCCGAUAGUGAACAAGUACCGUGAGGGAAAGGUGAAAAAGAAGUCGCGACAGUUAAUAGAUCCUGAAACUCCGCAUUUGAGUCGGCGCUUUUAAAAGCAACGGCAUACCUUUUGUAUAAUGGGCAAGUGAAUCUUAAUAAAAGGCAAGCUUAAGUGUAUCAAAGUCUAGGCGAAGAUAACUCGAGUCUUAAAUGGCGACUCAUAGUCUUUUGUUAAGGACCCGAAACCGGUUGAUCUAAACUUGAGCAGGCUGAUAUUGUAGUGGUAACAUUUUUUGGAGGGCCGAACCCGUGUAUGUGGCAAAAUACUGGGAUGACUUGAGUUUAGGGGUGAAAGGCCAAUCAAAGCCGGUGAUAGCUGGAUUUCUGCGAAAUCUAUUUAAGUAGAGCGUUCUAUUAGAGUAGUCCGGGGUAGAGCACUGUGUAAGUGAGGGGGGCAUUUGCUUUACCGAGCUUUGGCAAACUUCGAAUACGGACUUUAUUUUUAGGGCAGACAGAAUAUGUGUGCUAAGAUUCAUGUUCAAAAGGGAAACAGCCCAGAUUGCUAGUUAAGGUCCAUGAUAUAGCUUCAGUGAUAAAGGUUAUUUAUGUUCAGAGACCGUCAGAAGGUAGGCUUGGAAGCAGCCAUUCUUUUAAGACAGCGUAACAGCUCACUGACCUAGAAUAUAAAUUCCGCGAAUUUUGAGGGCUUAAAGUUAUUACCGAAACUUCAAACAAAAUAAUUUUAAUAGAUUUUUUUGUGGUAGCAGAACAUUCCGUAGGUUGUAAAAGCUAUAGUGUAAACUAUUGUGAAGAUAUCGGAAAUGAGAAUACUUGCAUGAGUAGCACGAAACAAUGAUAAACAUUGUGGCUGUAAGUCUAAGGUUUCCGAUCUAAAGUAAAACUUGGUCGGCAGAAGUGUGUACUUCUAGAAAAAACGGUCCCUAAGCUGGCAGGCCAAGGCUUGUGGUAAUGGGUAAGAUUAUGCUGUAAUAAGUAACUGACGAAAAAUUCACUUUAUUUUUAAUAAAUUUAAAGGUAAAUUAUUUUUUCCAAGAAAAAGGCUCUUUUUUAAACCGUACCUUAAACCGUCACAGGUAGAUGGGUUGAGAACACUAAAGCCUUGAGAUAACCCCGUUGAAGGAACUCGGCAAAAUGACUCUGUAACUUCGGAAUAAGGAGUAAAAAGUGGUGCGAAAGCUUUACUUUUUGGCACAAAAUUGGGGGUAGCGACUGUUUAUUAAAAACACAGGUCUCUGCUAACUCGUAAGAGGUUGUAUAGGGACUGACACCUGCCCGGUGCCGGUAGGUAAAGACCCAGUGUUUACGCAUUGGUAUCAAACCCCGGUAAACGGCGGCUGUAACUAUGACGGUCCUAAGGUAGCGAAAUUCCUUGUCGGGUAAGUUCCGACCCGCAUGAAUGGUGUAACGACUUCCCCGCUGUCUCCAACGGGGUCUCAGUGAAAUUACAAAGGUCGUGAAGAUGCGACCAUCCUACAGCUGGACGGAAAGACCCCGUGCACCUUUACNCGUGCACCUUUACUAUAUGCAACUAUUGUAAUUCAAAGGUUUUAGUGUAGAAUAGGUGGGAGCUUGUGAUUUAAUUUCUACGGAGAUUAUUUAGGCGUUAGUGAAAUACCACCCAAAGAUUUGUUGGUUUACUAACUUACGGACAGUGGUUGCUGGGUAGUUUGACUGGGGCGGUCGCCUCCUAAAGAGUAGCGGAGGCAUGCAAAGGUAGGCUCAUUUCCAAUAAAGGUAAAUCGAGCGUAAUGGUAAAAGCCUGCUUGACUGUAAGAAAAACAUUUCGAUCAGAGACGCAAGUCGGUCAUAGUGAUCCGGUAAUUCUUUGUGGAAGGGUUAUCGCGCAAUGGAUAAAAGGUACGCCGGGGAUAACAGGCUAAUGAUCCUCUAGAGCUCCUAUCGACGGGUUCGUUUGGCACCUCGAUGUCGACUCAUCACAUCCUGGAGCUGAAAAGGGUUCCAAGGGUUCGGUUGUUCGCCGACGAAAGUGGUACGUGAGUUGGGUUUAGAACGUCGUGAGACAGUUUGGUCCCUAUCUUCUGUGGGUGUUUGAAAACUGCGAGGACUAUACCUUAGUACGAGAGGACCAGGAAAACUCGAUCCCUGGUGUUCCGGUUGUUUUUUCAGAGCAGCGCCGGGUAGCUACAUCGAGAAGAGAUAAUCGACCGUUUGGCGAGAAACUUACCUCAAGUCAAGUUUUCAA